rnacentral:rRNA from 1 species
CGCCAACACUGGGACUGAGAACUGCCCAGACUCCUACGGGAGGCUGCAGUCGAGAAUCAUUCGCAAUGGGCGAAAGCCUGACGAUGCGACGCUGUGUGUGUGAUGAAGGCCUUCGGGUCGUAAAGCACUUUCGCUUGGGAACAAGAGAGGUCGGAUAAUACCCGGCUAAUUUGAGGGUACCAGGUAAAG